GACAGAGGUGCCGAGCGUUAGGCGGAAUCACUGGGCUUAAAGCGUGCGCAGGCGGUUCUGAAAGUCAGCUGUGAAAGCCCCGGGCUUAACCUGGGAAUUGCGGUUGAAACUACAGGGCUAGAAUCUGGCAGAGGGGGGUGGAAUUCCACGUGUAGCAGUGAAAUGCGUAGAGAUGUGGAGGAACACCGAUGGCGAAGGCAGCCCCCUGGGUUAACACUGACGCUCAGGCACGAAAGCGUGGGGAGCAAACAGG
rnacentral:rRNA from 1 species